rnacentral:rRNA from 1 species
AGGACGAACGCUGGCGGCGUGCCUAAUACAUGCAAGUCGAACGCACGAAGUUGAAGAGCUUGCUCUUUAACUAAGUGAGUGGCGGACGGGUGAGUAACACGUGGGUAACCUGCCCAUUAGAGGGGGAUAACAUUCGGAAACGGAUGCUAAUACCGCAUAGUUUCAGGAAUCGCAUGAUUCUUGAAGGAAAGGUGGCUUCGGCUACCACUAAUGGAUGGACCCGCGGCGUAUUAGCUAGUUGGUGAGGUAAUGGCUCACCAAGGCAAUGAUACGUAGCCGACCUGAGAGGGUGAUCGGCCACACUGGGACUGAGGCACGGCCCAGACUCCUACGGGAGGCAGCAGUAGGGAAUCUUCCGCAAUGGACGAAAGUCUGACGGAGCAACGCCGCGUGAGUGAAGAAGGUUUUCGGAUCGUAAAACUCUGUUGUUAAAGAAGAACAAGGAUGAGAGUAACUGCUCAUCCCCUGACGGUAUUUAACCAGAAAGCCACGGCUAACUACGUGCCAGCAGCCGCGGUAAUACGUAGGUGGCAAGCGUCGUCCGGAUUUAUUGGGCGUAAGGCGAGCGCAGGCGGUUCUUUAAGUCUGAUGUGAAAGCCCCCGGCUCAACCGGGGAGGGUCAUUGGAAACUGGAGAACUUGAGUGCAGAAGAGGAGAGUGGAAUUCCACGUGUAGCGGUGAAAUGCGUAGAUAUGUGGAGGAACACCAGUGGCGAAGGCGACUCUCUGGUCUGUAACUGACGCUGAGGCUCGAAAGCGUGGGGUGCAAACAGGAUUAGAUACCCUGGUAGUCCACGCCGUAAACGAUGAGUGCUAAGUGUUGGAGGGUUUCCGCCCUUCAGUGCUGCAGCUAACGCAUUAAGCACUCCGCCUGGGGAGUACGGCCGCAAGGCUGAA